GUCGAAGAAUGGUCAGUCUCCUUCUCCUCCGUUGCUUUGUACUUAAAUUCUUAACCUGGACAGAAGCCAAUGCCCCAUCCCCAAGCAGAAAAGGAACAGUAAAGAGAAUAAGAAAGCAGAAGGAAAGGUCCUUAUAUUGCUUUAGGGACAUUCUGUAAAUGUCGUGAAUAUUGAUUGAAGAAUUAAGCUGAUUGUUUAUCUUAAUGAAACCAGAUUGGUUUUAUAUUAGGGGAGGAAGCUGGGGAAAGUUGUGACUCCUGAAGAGCAUGCAGUAAAUGGCUGCUACAAAUUUGCAACCUCAUGCAUCCCUUGUUGGCCUUUGCAACCUCAAGAGCAAGUUGCACAUCCAGCCAGCCUGCAAGAAAAGAUGCAACUCAGUACAUCAAAAUGACUUGUAAGAAAGAUUUGCAAUUUCCCUUGGAAGCGACGUGGCCUACAAGCUUACUGUCUUUCCUUGUAUCAUUUUAUGCUUUGAUGUCAUUGCUUAUGCCUAAGACCCUUUUCCGAUAGAUAAAGUAUAGAUUACUUUCAAGCCUCAUAAAAAUUAUCACACACCAUGUUUGUGGGGAAUGGAAAACCGGAAACGCUUAAAUAUAUAUGACAGUUGUGAUCUUUCCAAUUUAGGUAAGUAUCUUUGAUACCAUCAAGGUGCAUGGGUCUGCUAAACCCUGUGAGAUGGUAGUUUUGACAAAUCACAUGGCUUCUUUGUUGAUUUUACUUGGGUUGUUGUGUCGUCUAACCCCUCUCUUAUUCUACCAGCUUUCUCCUUUUCUUUUGACAUGCAUCUCGAGGAGGAGUAUGGGACUUUGACGGUGGAAAGCUCCAGCAGAUCACAUGGGAAAGCUGUUCAUCACUCGAAUCUAGAAGUGAAUCUACUGCUUCGAUGGCUCUUCAAAUGACAUCUCUGAUGAAUCUUGCAUGUGGAAAGGAAAGAAGAGCCCAUUGGGAUGCCAAGCUUCACCGCGCGGAUCGAAGAAGAAGCUGUUCGCAACCGUAAAAUAUCUCCACAGGAAUAUCGAUUACGCGGUGCUUAAAUGCUGCCGCGUCUCAAUGACUCCCGGGAGUCAACCCCGUCGGACACACGUGUCGGUCCGACAAAACGCAAUCCGGCAAUCACCACCUUGUCGCGACGCUUGUACUGCCUGCUGGCCCCAACUGGGGCCCAGCUCCCACGGCAGCCAAUGGAAUGACAACUUUGGUGGCGUUGGUGAGUGGAACGGGGAGUUUGUCACCAGCUGGGAUGAGUAAACUAGAGGUUCAUGCGCCUUUGGGAUUUUGGACUUGCCUCCGAGUCUUAUUUUAUCUCACUUGGAGUGAUGGAUGAUAUGGACUAUGGAGGCAGGAACCCAACAACUUAAGAUGCGUUCGGAGUGGCUCCAUAUCUAUUUCGAGCCUCUGUGGAUUCGGUUUUGGAGCAUCAAGGAAGAUUUACACCCUAAGAUCAUGGUAGACGGCUUGCUAGAAGGGGGGCUCAUUUGCAGGAUAAAAGUGUGUGCACUCCCUCUCUCUAGAAGGCUGGAAUUGUUCAUAUUUGAGUUUGAAUCUUUUAUUUUGUUUCCAAAAUUGGCUUCAAAGGAGGUACUGGAUGUGGUAUGAAAUUAGUUACGGAAAAUUGACUGUUUUCUGUUUCAAAAAUUCUCUCAAGUUAGUCUCUUCUGU